UGCGUAGGCGGAUCAAUAAGUCAGUGGUGAAAUCUCUCGGCUCAACCGGGAAACUGCCAUUGAUACUGUUGAUCUUGAGUUCGGUUGAGGUAGGCGGAAUGUGUAAUGUAGCGGUGAAAUGCUUAGAUAUUACACAGAACACCAAUUGCGUAGGCAGCUUACUAGACCGACACUGACGCUGAGGCACGAAAGCGUGGGGGGCGAACAGGAUUAGAUACCCUGGUAGUCC
rnacentral:rRNA from 1 species